rfam:Triticum aestivum genome assembly, contig: Triticum_aestivum_CS42_TGACv1_scaffold_556097_7AL
CAUGUACUCCCUCCGUCUCAAAAUUCUUGUCUUAGAUUUGUCUAGGUAUGAAUGUAUCUAACACUAAAACGUAACUAGAUUCAACCGUAUUUAGACAAAUCUAAGACAAGAAUUUUGGGACGGAGGGACUAUAUG